rnacentral:rRNA from 1 species
GACGAACGCUGGCGGCGUGCUUAACACAUGCAAGUCGUACGGUAAGGCCCUUUCGGGGGUACACGAGUGGCGAACGGGUGAGUAACACGUGAGUAACCUGCCCACAACUUUGGGAUAACGCUAGGAAACUGGUGCUAAUACUGGAUAUGUGCUCCUGCUGCAUGGUGGGGGUUGGAAAGCUCCGGCGGUUGUGGAUGGACUCGCGGCCUAUCAGCUUGUUGGUGGGGUAGUGGCCUACCAAGGCGGCGACGGGUAGCCGGCCUGAGAGGGUGACCGGCCACAUUGGGACUGAGAUACGGCCCAGACUCCUACGGGAGGCAGCAGUGGGGAAUAUUGCACAAUGGGCGCAAGCCUGAUGUAGCAACGCCGCGGGCGGGAUGACGGCCUUCGGGUUGUAAACCGCUUUCAGCAGGGACGAAGCUUUUUGUGACGGUACCUGCAGAAGAAGCACCGGCUAACUACGUG